ensembl:lncRNA
GGGACACCUCGGGCCAAUAGGAAUCAUUUCCAUCUGAAGGGCGGAGGAGCGCGCCGGGGACCGGAACUGGAGCGCCGGUAAGAGCGCGUGGAGAUGGCAGAGGACCUGAAUGCCGGGGAUGGGGCUGCUUCACUAAAUGGGGUGAUGCAGGCAGGUUGGCUACUUCUGUUCCCCUACUGAAUCCAGCCAACGUGAUGUCUGUGCUGACAUCCUGUCCCCUGAGACGCUUUACGGCACAAUUAGGCAUGGAACCAGCGCUUGCUCUCCUUAGGUUUGGUGACAGAUGACAAAAUCUGGGUCCUGGAACAACACGGUGCCUGCUCUUCAGCCUCGGCUUGUCUAUGAUGUGUGACCACCCAUAAAAAAGACACUGUAAGCACACGGAAGAGCUUACCUCCCCGGCGCUGCAAACAUGGCUGUCAGCGCACAAUACGACACUAAAGCAAAUUUGCCAAGAGAUUAGCUAAGUGCCUCCAUGCAUGGAAAUGCUUGAUAGACAGUCCACAACGUUAUGCAAAUUUUAUGCUAAAUACACUAUUCUACAACC